UACGUAGGGUGCAAGCGUUCAUCGGAAUUACUGGGCGUAAAGCGUGCGCAGGCGGUGAUGUAAGACAGAUGUGAAAUCCCCGGGCUCAACCUGGGAACUGCAUUUGUGACUGCAUCGCUGGAGUGCGGCAGAGGGGGAUGGAAUUCCGCGUGUAGCAGUGAAAUGCGUAGAUAUGCGGAGGAACACCGAUGGCGAAGGCAAUCCCCUGGGCCUGCACUGACGCUCAUGCACGAAAGCCAGGGGAGCAAACGGG
rnacentral:rRNA from 1 species